CUGCUACAAAUCUGAUUCCUCCUGUUUUAACUGGUGUAGUUUGGCGAUUCUUGCUCCAAAAGAAAUCCAGACUCCUCUUCUUUGAGAAGGUUGAAAGCUUGAGGGAAGGAAUAACUCUAGGAAACUGGGAGCAGCAAUUAAACCAAGUAAAAAUGGGUCACAAAGGGGAUGAAGUUUGGCUGAUUCCUAAGGUUGUCUUGUUGCUUUUUCUCGCC
rnacentral:lncRNA from 1 species